GACGAACGCUGGCGGCGUGCUUAACACAUGCGAGUCGAACGGAAAGGCCUUGCUUUUGUGGGGUGCUCGAGUGGCGAACGGGUGAGUAACACGUGAGUAAUCUGACCUUGACUUUGGGAUAACUUCAGGAAAUUGGGGCUAAUACCGGAUAGGAGCUCCUGCUGCAUGGUGGGGGUUGGAAAGUUUCGGCGGUUGGGGAUGGACUCGCGGCUUAUCAGCUUGUUGGUGGGGUAGUGGUUUACCAAGGCUUUGACGGGUAGCCGGCCUGAGAGGGUGACCGGCCACAUUGGGACUGAGAUACGGCCCAGACUCCUACGGGAGGCAGCAGUGGGGAAUAUUGCACAAUGGGCGGAAGCCUGAUGCAGCAACACCGCGUGCGGGAUAACGGCCUUCGGGUUGUAAGCCGCUUUCGCCUGUGACGAAGCGUGAAUGACAGUAAUGGGUAAAGAAGCACCGGCUAACUACGUG
rnacentral:rRNA from 1 species